AUGGACCCCGGGGCGUCCUCCUCCUCGCCAGGUCGGUCGACCGGCUCUCCCUGCCUCCGCCCCGUCAAGCCGGAGCCCCAGGACACGCCUGUCAUCGCGUGCACCCACAGCUCCGGCGUCCGCUUCGACGACUCCGCCCCCGCCUCUGGCCGCCUCGUCCUUGUCAGGCCGGAGCCGGAGCCCGGCCUCCCCGCGGAGUACGAGGAGAUAGCCCGGCGCGGCUUCUCCGAUGAGGACGCCCUACGGUGGGCGCGGGACGACUACCUCCGCGACGAGGUGGUCCGGCAGCGCCGGGCCCUGGAGGAGAUAGCCGCCCGCAAACGUGGGCGCGAGGACGAGCACGGCGUCGUGGUCCUCGACGGCGACGACGACGACGCCCCCGGUACCGUCCAACCCACCGCGCCAACCGGGGGACGGUUGCAGCAGGGACGGCGGCCGCGGCGGAGAUGA
rnacentral:rRNA from 1 species